CCCGCGUCGCUUCCUUCCCUGUCCACUGCUUCGCUCUCAUCCGCCAUUUCCGCGGCGUGAGUGUCUGUGAGUGAUGUUGUUCGCCUUAUCGUGAAUAUCUUGUGCCAUCCUGCCGUGACGAGGGGUGAUCUGCUGUCCUGUGUGCGGCGCAAGGACGAUCAAGGGACGGAGGAGCGGCCCAGGAUGAGUGAGUCUAGGAGCAUGUAUAUACGAGCUCCGGUCUGCCACGAGGAAAGAAGCAGAAGAAGUGUGGGAAACUGUGAAGGGAGUUUGGCUUUCCCUCCCUUACUCCCUUCGCGGCAGACCUCACCAGGUAUCAAUAAGGCCAAGAAGGAAGAGUGUCACUGAGAGAAAGAAAACGUAAUAAGGACAUGAGAAUGAUGGCAGAAGUAAUAUCAAUCGUGCAGGAGGUGAGAGGAGCAGCUUGAAGGGGCAUGGACAUGUGGCCAGGAGGGAAGAGGAUGACCCUGUGAAGGUGACAUGGGGGAGCCAGGUGGAGGGACAGGAACAAAGGAAAGACAGAGGCUUAGAUGGAGAGGUGGAAUUCAGAGAGGUAUGAGACAGCUGGACCUGGAGAAAGAGGACACACAAGACAGAAGAUACUGGCGGGACCAUAUAAGACCGGACGACCUUACUAGGGAUUAAUAAAGCAAAGAAGAAGAAGAAGAAGAAAAAAAGAAAAAAAUACUGAUAUAAGUGUUGUUUUAAUGUUUGCAUAAAGUAUCUGAGGCCUUGUGGUGGAGGUACAAAGGGAGGGAAUCACGGAAGAUGGAAGGGAAAUCUCUUCCUGCUUCUGUAUUUCCUUCUGCCUUUGAUUUGAACUGUAUGAAGAGGGAGACUUUAAGACGCUUAUCAUUAAAUUUUGAUAACCAUUUUGA